rnacentral:rRNA from 1 species
UACAGAGGGUGCGAGCGUUAAUCGGAAUUACUGGGCGUAAAGCGCGCGUAGGCGGACCUGCAAGUCGGGGGUGAAAGCCCGAGGCUCAACCUCGGAACUGCCUUUGAUACUGAGGAUCUUGAGUUCGGGAGAGGUGAGUGGAACUGCGAGUGUAGAGGUGAAAUUCGUAGAUAUUCGCAAGAACACCAGUGGCGAAGGCGGCUCACUGGCCCGAUACUGACGCUGAGGCACGAAAGCGUGGGGAGCAAACAGG